UACGGAGGAUGCGAGUGUUAUCCGGAAUCACUGGGCGUAAAGCGUCUGUAGGUUGUUUGCUAAGUCUGCUGUUAAAGCUUGAAGCUCAACUUCAGAAAUGCAGCGGAAACUAGUAGACUUGAGUGUGGUAGGGGUAGAGGGAAUUUCCAGUGAAGUGGUGAAAUGCGUAGAUAUUGGAAAGACCACCAAUGGCGAAGGCACUCUACUGGGCCACUACUGACACUGAGAGACGAAAGCUAGGGGAGCGAAUGGG
rnacentral:rRNA from 1 species